rnacentral:rRNA from 1 species
UACGUAGGGGGCGAGCGUUGUCCGGAAUCAUUGGGCGUAAAGCGCGUGUAGGCGGCCCGGUAAGUCCGCUGUGAAAGUCCAGGCUCAACCCUGGGAUGCCGGUGGAUACUGUCGGGCUCGAGUCCGGAAGAGGCGGAGUGGAAUUCCUGGUGUAGCGGUGAAAUGCGCAGAUAUCAGGAGGAACACCAAUGGCGGAAGGCAGCUCGCUGGGACG